UGUGUGGUGAGCUGAGGAGUAAUAUGUGUGUUCCUUGGUGUUUGGGUGUUGUAGUCGCAAACAAUCGCCAAGUCCAGAGACAGACAUGUAUUGCCUUAUUGUUUGUGUGCUCUGCCAGUUCUGUGUAGUGUGUACUAACAGUUCUGUGUUUUAUGUGUACUAGUGGUUUUAUAUAAUUCUGGGUUGAUGACUGGGUUAAAGUCGCCAUCGAUUAUGAUGGGGAAUCCGGGACGUUUGUGAGAUGUGUGAAGAGGGCAGAAGAUCAAGGGGUUGUCUGUAUUUGGUCCAUAUAUGUUUGCUAUUGUUAUCAGGCUGUUGUUGAUAGAGAUGUUUAUGAUGUAUCUGCCUUCAGGGUCGGUGAUAGUGGCACUGCGUGUGAAUGAGAUUUUUUUUGUUUGUUAAAAUUGCUACACCUCUUUGUUUGGUAAAGCAGUGAGCAGCGAAAAUGUGGUUGAAUUGUGGGGUGUGUAAUUUGUAACUUGUGUUUCUUCGAGUAAGCAUAUAUCUGCGUUUAGUGUGGUCAGAUGCUGUAGUACUUUUUUAUUUCUGCCUGUCAGGAAUUUGAUCAAUGACAUGUUUUGGGAGAUCUCUUGUUGGGUUUAUCAGUGGUGUACUAUUGAUGCAUGGUCUAUGUGAGUAUUGCUGUGUGCGAUAGGUUACUUGUUGGUGUUAUUUUAUUGGGUUGUUUUGUAUGUGAGCAUGGUGGUGUAUAUCUGAAACACACUGGUCAAAUAAACAAAGAACCACAGUUCGCAACAGAGGAUAAAAGGCCAUGGCAUUGCUGAGGAGUGAGACGUCAGUGCAAUGAACUAAUGUAACACAGUCAAGCUUAUACCUGAGGUUUUUUUGUUCUGUGUUGUUUCAGGGACCGUGGGUGUUGUGUGUGUGUGUGUGUGUGUGCGUGUUUUGAGGUAGGGAUAACGGGGCAGAAGGGUUGCAGUGGACAGCAGAUCAGAGACCAUGACUGGCUAAAUAAUGACACAGCGACCCUGUGCUCCUGGGGUAGGUUUCCCCAUAACGAUGAAUCAUGUCAGAAGACGGCAACAGCGAUGUAAUAUUGUACAACCACAAUUCCAAAAAAGGACGCUGG